ACUACGGGUGGCAGCAGUGGGGAAUAUUGCACAAUGGGGGAAACCCUGACCGAGCAACGCCGCGUGAACGAAGAAGUUAUUCGUAAUGUAAAGUUCUUUUAACAGGGAAGAAAGAGAAAUUUGACGGUACCUGAAGAAUAAGCUCCGGCUAACUACGUGCCAGCAGCCGCGGUAAGACGUAGGGAGCGAGCGUUAUCCGGAAUUAUUGGGGGUAAAGGGUGCGUAGAUGGCAUAGUAAUUCUUUUGUAAAAAUGCUGGGCUCAACCCAGUAGGGCAAAAGAUACUGCAAAGCUAGAGUAUGACAGAGGCAAGUGGAACUACAUGUGUAGCGGUAAAAUGCGUAAAUAUAUGUAAGAACACCAGUGGCGAAGGCGGCUUGCUGGGUCGAUACUGACAUUGAGGCACGAAAGCGUGGGGAGCAAACAGGAUUAGAUACCCGGGUAGUC
rnacentral:rRNA from 1 species